UUUCAACACAAAGACUUUUGAUGACACGUUCAUAGAAUCUUGAGUCAUAAUAACCCAAAACUGAAAACAAAGCAAAUAUCCAUCAAUAAGACAAAAAUUUAAGAAUUUUGGCAAAUCCAUACAAUAACACAGCCGUCUACAACAAAAAAGAAGGCACUACUGCUACACACAACGAUAUGAAUGAAUCUCUAAAAUGUGUUGAGCUAAUGAAGCCAGACACAAAAAGGGACAUAUCGGAUGAUUCCAUAUAUACCAAAUCAUUGAAAAAGUAAAAUUAUUCUCUAGUGACAGCAAGCAGAUUGGUGGUUGCCUAGGACCAGGGUAAAACAAGGUAAAGCAGCAUCCAAAUGAGCAAAGGAUAUGAAGCAAACCCACCUUUUUCACACUUACAUGUGUAAGAGGGAAAAUUUAAGGUGCAGGGAAAACAGACAGGUUAGUGCAAGGUUCCUCACCUUCAGCACUAUUGCCAUUUUGGAUCUGAUAAUUCUUUGUUGCUGCUGGUGUGUGUGUGUGUGUGUGUGCUGUCCUGUGCACUAAAGGAUGGUUAGCAGUCUCUGGCUUCUACCCACAAGGUGCCCAUGGAAAUCUCUCCCCACUUGUGCCUGCCAAUUGUGAAAAAUGUUUCACGACAUUGCCAAAUGUCCCCUGGGAUGCAAAAUUGUCCCCAGCUGAGAACCACCAGGUUAGUACAUUUGUUAUCACUUGUUCUGUAACAAAUUAUCCCCCAAAUUUAGUGGCUUAAAACAAUGAACACUUAUUACCUACCAGUUACUAUGGGUCAGGCAUUUGGGAGCGACUCAGCUGGGGGUUCUUGUUCAAGGUCUCUAUUGAGGUUGCAGUCAAGAUGUCUGCAUCAUCCCAAGGCCUGCUUCCAAGAUGGCUCAGUCACAUGGAGAUUGGCAGAGGCUGCAGAUUCUUGCUGGUUGUUGGCAGGAUAUUCAGCUCUUUGACACAUGGGCGUCUGAUAAAGCUACUUGAUAAUGUCUUCAUGACAUGGUAACUGCCUUCCCCAGAGCAAGUGAUCUGAGAGGGGGUAGGGAGGAGCCACGAUACCUUUUUAAGAUGGCCACAGUGUCACUUCUGCUAUAUUGUAUCCUUUAGGAGCAAGUCACUAAGUACAGCCCACAUUCACUUGGAAGGGAAUUAGUCUCCACUUUUUGAAGGAAGGAAUAUCGAUGAAUUUGUGGGCAUACAUAUUUUAAAACCAUCAUACUUGGAGAAGGAUUCUUUAGAAAAUGAGCUGGGGAAGACCGUCAGCCAUUUCGAGAAAAUGAAAGGUAGAUCAUCACUCCAAAAUAAAUCCCAAAGGAUUAAAUUAUUUAACGGAAAAGUCAAAAUUACCAAACACGUAGUAAAAAUAAAGGCAGAUAAUUGAUAUGAUCUCAGGAUGGGAAAGGACUUGUGAAGCAAAAAAUAAUAGAAGGAAACAAAAAUGGAAAAGACCAAUAGCUUUAUCUAGGAUCAAUAUCUACAUCAUAUAAAGUGACUUUUUGUGAAUACCCCAGUAAGAAAAUGGACAAUGAGCCAACAAUAAGAAACCAUAUUUGCCCAUAUAAAAAUACACCAUGAUGACUUUGGCACAGUGAAGAAGGACAAUCGUAUACUCUCAUAUACCUCUGUGGGAAAAUUGAGACUAAAAGUUAUAAUGACGGUAACGUAUUGAUUAUGUGCCAUGUACUUCUAAGUAUUUUAUUUGUAACAACUUAUUUACUUUUUGCUACAACAUCAUAUGGCCGCGUUACACCAAUUUUCUGGUUGAGGCACAGCCAGAUUAAGGAAUUUGGCCAAAUCUCAUAGCCUGUAGGUCGCAGCAGGGUUGACUUAUCCAAUUGUCACAGUGGGCACAGUGCCUCAGGCUCACCACAAUUUCAGACGCCCAUAAAAUGUUUUAACUUCUUUUAAAAUCAGAAGAAAAAAAAUGAAUGCUAUGGUCAAAGAAAACAUUUUACUAUAUAACAUCAAUAUGCUGUCCUUAAACCAAUGCAGUUAUAAAUAUAAUUUUUAAUAUUAUUUUGUGGCAGAAGUGGCCACAAAGGUAAAAGCAUCUAGGGCCCAUGAAAAUCAGAACGUGGCCCCAGGUGGCAGAACUGCGAUUUGACCCCAGGCCAUGUGACACUUGAGCCUAUGUUCUUCCUGGAAGGCAGCUUGCCAACAUGUUUCUAAAAGGCUAAAAGUGUUCAUACCUUUGAUUACUUUUCAGGACUUGAGGCAGUAAGGACAUGGACAAGGAUUUAUGAAAAGAUAUUUAUAAUAGUGUUCAUUUGAAACCAAAGAAAUAUUUAAUAAUAAAAGGUUGGUUCAAUAUUGGCUGUCAACUUUGGGGCCUAGGUGAAUAUUAGCAGCUUCUGAAUGGAGCUGAACUGAGGAGGGAAACUGAGGACUCAGGAGAGCUGAAAGUGAGACAUGGCAGAGAUGGAAGCAGGAGGCCUGGAAGCGUUCUGCAGGUGGUGUGCAGACUUCUGCUGGGUACGCAGGUGUGACGGCUGAGAACGCGCUUGUAAGCGUGUUCUUGGAUUUACUUUCAAAUGGUCUGGACCAGCAAAAAGCUAAGGAAAAGGAGAGACAGAGCAUGCAAGCAUGAAAGGAGCCUUGAAGACCCUGUUAAUCUUUGUCUUGAAAGUUCCGAUGAGCCAGUGAAAGAUUUUAAGCAGUGGAGCAACAUGUUCAGAUGCCUAUUUUAGAAUUAUUGUGGAUAUAGUGUGCUUCAAAUCCAGGUAUGAAGUCAGAGGGUAGGAGCUGAUGCAACGGAGAGGAGAAUGUACAUUCAUUCAGUCAGAAGAUAUUUAUUGAAUCCUAAAAAUAUUCAUGGAGGGUCA
rnacentral:lncRNA from 1 species